CGGACCAGACAUGUUGACGGUUUUUACGACAGCGCAACAAGUAUCUGAGAACAACACGAUUCAAUUCACAUGAAAAUUUUAUUGGAUGGCACUGAACUCAUAAACUUCUUCGUUUUGCUCGAAUUCCGGCACGAGAUCCUCUAUAAAUGUUUUUAGCACGUGCCCAGGAACAAUAAUUCAAGAAUCGACCAAGUCUCGGACACGAAAAAAGGAAAAUAAACAGAUCAUGGCCGCCAAUAUUUACAAUGGACUAAGCAUUAUGGUUUUUGAACGUGCCGAGAAUGAUGGACCGUACGAACGGGACGUGUCACGGUAAAUCUUCGCAGGACAAAACUUGAGAAAAACAAAACACGCACGGAUUCCUUAACGGCUGGCCAUAUUGCGAAUUCCGAACGCGACGUUUUCCACCAACGGUCUCUCCCGUAAAACACGCCAAAUGAAGAUAAUUGAAAAACUAUUAUUAAAAUCCGUUCAUUUCUUUCGUUAACUGACAUAUGUGUACAUCUUUUUUAAACCUCACAGUCACCAUUAAGAAAAGCAUUUUCCUCCUCCAUGGCGUUUGACUCCCAAAAUAAUUUUGGAAAAUAUCAGUAAUAAAAAGUGUCGUUCGCUUCAAAUAAAUUAAAUUAGUAACAAUAAUUAUAAGUUGUACACCCUCAACAGAAAAUUCGAGAUUAGGAACAAACCAGAGAUUUUCAUUAUGUCAUGAAACUAAAAUUCUUAGUGAAAGAAACCAUCAAACCAUCAAACCAUCAAAACGUUAUAUUUGCAUUUAAAAAAUUCACUUUACAUUAAUAAUUAUUUUACUUUAUGGGUUUAGUAGUUCCUAAAAUGUGUUUACUCGCAGGAUAUUUAUUUGUUAUAAAGCAUUCACAAUUUGACAUAUUGAGAAUAUCUAGUCAGCUAUCUUCCAGGGUAACUUAUUAUUUAAUUACUGAGUGAAUUUCCGGAUUAUUUUCUAUUUUACAACUCGCUGCUGACGACGAAAAUUUUAACAAGAACUAACAAUAAGCAAUUUAUGCAACAACGAAGUCUUUUUAAAUUUUGCUCACCCUGUAACUCCCUUGUUUUUGUUAUUCACUUUUCCAAUGCCCAAGUAUGCCCGGCCGUCUUCAGGAGACUACUGAAUACUCGAUAGUCUUCAGGUGAAUACGAGAUAUUUGACCAGUUGAAACAUGGUAAAAAAGUUAAUAAUAAAGUCAACGGAAGUUCAAAAUAUCACUUUUCUUCAGCAUUUUAUAUACCCGUCAAACAAACCAUCAAAAUCUAGAUCAAAAUAAUGGUUCCCACAACUUCUCAUUGGCAACCAUUCUAUUCGUCUGCAAUAAUGAUGUAAGAUUUACUUUUUAACCACAUCGAACUAUUGGACGAAAACGUUUGGGGUUGGCUUUGAAGCCGGAGAGCAAAUAAACGAAAAAUGUCAUUAGGCCGGUGGCGGUUCAAUUAGAUUAGGUCAGGCUGUCACGUCAGAAAAUUUGUUACUAAGGCCUCCUUUUCUCCUCUUAAAUGCGAUACUCCAAUACAUUUAAAACGACAAAUGCACGGGGACGAGGAGGAGGAGGAGAAGGAGGAGGUGGGGGAGAAAAAAGACCGUCUCUGAUAACAAACAAGAUUAAUGACUGAAACCGUAUUUUUUUCUCUUCCUAAAUAUAUCGAAUCCGGAAACUUAAUAAAGUAAACUUGGCUUUUGUUUGACUCCCUAAAAAAUGAACGUUGGAUAUAUUUGAUGCAUCGUAGUCGGCUUGUAAACAAGAUGAAAUUACGUUCCUACCAAGAGAAGCUAAAAAAUCUCACGAAACUUAAU